rnacentral:lncRNA from 1 species
AUAACGUGGCGGACUCAUUCACUAAGCAGCUGAGUCAGAAGAAAUUAGAAGUCCAUCUUGAAAAAAUGGGACUUAAAUAUAUGUCUGAUUGGCUUUAGUGCAAGUGGGAGAUUGUCAGAAGUAUGCUCUAGAAGCCAACGUGGCUGAUGCAUAUUUGUAAUCUGGGGCAUAAAUUUGUAAUUUGACACUUAUUAAUAAAUAAGAUUGGGCAAUUUAUUUUUUAUUUAUGUUUGUAUGUGUCCAUGAAUCAUCCAA